rnacentral:rRNA from 1 species
ACUCAAAUGAAUUGACGGGGGCCCGCACAAGCAGUGGAGUAUGUGGUUUAAUUCGAAGCAACGCGAAGAACCUUACCGGGGCUUGACAUAUGGAUGACCGCCAUAGAGAUAUGGCUUUCUUCGGACAUCCAAUACAGGUGGUGCAUGGUUGUCGUCAGCUCGUGUCGUGAGAUGUUGGGUUAAGUCCCGCAACGAGCGCAACCCUUAUUGUCAGUUGCUAACAUUUAGUUGAGAACUCUGGCAAGACUGCCGGUGACAAAUCGGAGGAAGGUGGGGACGACGUCAAAUCAUCAUGCCCCUUAUGUCCCGGGCUACACACGUACUACAAUGGCCAUUAACAACAGGAAGCGAAGCCGCGAGGCGGAGCAAAUCCCCAAAAAUGGUCUCAGUUCAGAUUGUAGGCUGAAACUCGCCUGCAUGAAGUCGGAAUUGCUAGUAAUCGCGAAUCAGCAUGUCGCGGUGAAUACGUUCCCGGGCCUUGUACACACCGCCCGU